rnacentral:lncRNA from 1 species
GAUGCCAAUUUGCUAUCAACUUCUGCAGUAAUCUGUUGCCAAUCUGCUGGCAGAUUGCACACAUUUUGCUUACUGGGUUCUUAUGGACAUGGCAUACGCAGGGAAAAGGGAUCUCCAAUGUAGGAUUCGGCGAUGAAAUCCGCAAUAUUAUUAGAGCUUUAUCGAAAAUUAUUGCCGAACUAUUAUUAAGAUGAAAUCACCUUAAAAAGAAAGAGAUGAACGCUGUGAACACAUGUCGAAAUGAAGCGAACUGUGUCGGUGACAUGAUUGCAGUUAAAAAUGAAUAAUCGCACCCAACAUGAUAUGCGAUAUGCAAUAUGAAAAAAAGAUAAACUUUGCGUCCUUUUUUAUCUUUUUCUGAAAAUGUAAUUUUUCGAUAUUGAUUCUACGGUUAUUCUUUUCAUUCUAUCGUAUUUCCAUCUUCCAUUAUUAUGUAGAAAUGCUUAUUAUCUGUUAACUAUUUAUGUUAUCGUUAUCGCUCAUCUUUUUCUUUAUUUGUUAAAUAAUUUCGUUCACACAAAACAGUUGUCUAUGUUAAUUUUACUUUCUUAUAUUUCUGGCUCAUAUCAUGAAAUCAUGAUUUUUUCUAAAAUUAUUUUUUUAGAUUUUCAUUAUUUUGAGAAAAGAUAAUUGUUAAGAAAUAUAAAAAUAUCUAAAAAUAUUUUCUCAUAUAUAUUUUGUAAUAUUAUUUUUUUGUAUAUUAAACAUCUCUUUACAAUAAUAGAGAAUGCGUUAUUACAUACGUAUUUGAGAUCGUACAAUUAUUACUGAUUAUAAUAUGAAUACAAGUGAGAGAUUUAAAGAAAAAAUGACAAAAGGAAGUACAUAUGGAAGUAUGAAUGUUUCCAUAAAAGUCUAGUUACAUAUGAAGCACGUGUUACAUCGCGAUGAAUUUAAAACAAAAAACACAGCAUAAAUAUUAACUCAUGUUCGAGAUUGCUUAUUUGUAAUUUCUUGCAUUUUAUAUAUAUAUCAGCAAUAUUUAGUUUUCUUGGUCUUAAUAAAAAACUAAUAACAGCAAUAACAGUUGUAAUGCAGUAUUAAUAAUAAUAGAUAGAAAAUAAUGGCAAGAAUAAUAAUAAUUACAAUUGUCAAGAUCGAUUUUGCGAUUAUUAGACGAUAUAAAGUAAACUAUAUCAUUAAAUGUUUUACCUCGCAUAUAUAUUGAUAAAAAUUUCUAAAUCAACAUGCAUAUACGCUUUAUAUCAUUUUUGUUAUUAUCCUCUUUUUUGGCCAUUUUAGCCAUUUUAAAACUAUUCAAUUUAUGGUCAAUUUUUAAUCUAUUAAAUUAAUACAUCUCUUGUCUAUGUAUAUUCGGAUCUAUGCGAUCUACAUAUCCAUCAUUAAAUUUAACGCCAAUUAUAUUUGUACAAAAAAAUGCAUUAUAAAAAACUCAUUAAAACCGAAUUAAUCAAUUUGGCAAAUCAACAUUCCGCGUAACAGCCUUUAUAAUAAGUGUAAGCCUUUAUAAUAAAAGCAGAAAAGAUAAGAAAAAUAAGUAGAUCCUGAUAUUAAUAUAACUAUCCUUAAAUAAUUUAAUUAAUAUCAUUGAAAGAACAUAUAUGAACAUUUCAAAAUAAUAUAUACGAGUUUAGAAAGAACAUUACUUUUACUUAUUUUAUUCAACCAAACAAAUAAAACUUAUUGAAGUUACUGUACAAAGAGCCAUUAUUAAAUUCUAAACUGUUAACACGCGGAGUGAUUGAUGAUAAAUCGAAAAAUCACUCAGUUAUCGUAAAUCUGUGAGUAUGGCCACGAAUAUCAAAUGCCAAUUCAAUUGACUAAUCGAUUAUUGCAAAUACGAAAAUACAGCGUAUUGUAAAUAACUAAUUUGCUAAAAAGUAGAAAAGAUUAUUACACGUAUAGAAAAGCCUCUAUUGUCUCUAUGCGUACAAUAAAUAUUUCCUAAAUGUAAAUUUCAAUUUGAAAUAUUUAAAUCAUUUCGUUAUACAAUACAGAAAAAAUCAAAUAUAGAAUCGAAUAUAGAAAAACUAUCCCUGUCAAAUAUUUUAUAAAACACAAUUUGUUAUCUCUUUAUUACAUUUUAGUAUUAAUUUUGAUAAAAUUACUCGAUACACGUUAAUCAUUUUAACUUAUUAUAAUCUAAAUUAACAAAUAUUGCUGUGAAUAUAUAAAACGUAAAUUGAUAAAGUAUAAUAAGUGAAAAAUUAUAAUGAAGAGAUAUUCUUAAUUUGACAACAAUUUUAAUCAACGGAAUAUACCACAAAUUAUUUUACACAAAA